GCGCUUGCUUCGGCAGCACACAUAGUAAAACUGGAACGAUACAGAGAAGAUUAGCAUGGCCCCUGCACAAGGAUGACACGCAAAUUCACGAAACGUUCCAUAUUUAA
ensembl:snRNA U6 U6 spliceosomal RNA